CCUUCUCUCACUUCUGCAUGGGACUUCCUUCUGAAAUUGCUUGUUCUGUCCAGAGAAUGAUCUUCUCCAGCAGAGUCCUCUUCCAAAGGGGCUUAAAGGCACCUGAGACCUCCAGCUCACCUCUCUGACAGAGCUCCCAAGGUCAGGUUCUAGCUGAGGAACGAGGCUUGCUGGCAGAUCAGAGCAAGCUCCAUGAGGGCAGGAAGCAUCAGUCUUGUCUCACAUUGAUCCCAGAGCCCUGCACAGUGACUGGCGUCCUGGAGGGGACAGUGAGUGACUGCUGACUGACUGGCUCAACGAAUGCAUGAUGGAAUGAUUGAAGGAUGAGGUGGCAUCUGAGCCAGACUGGGAAGACGUGCCGGGGAGAGUGAGUGGGGCAAUUAGCCCCUGUAGCCAUAGCAUAGCAGGAAAGAAGGUAGCAGGGAGUCUGCCAAGGAGAAAGCUGGGGACCAGAGUGCCAAGGGCGUGGCUUCCCAAGGACACCACCGUCCUCCCAGAUGCCCCACCCAGCCAUGAGCCAGAACUACCCACCUUUUUGUUCGGAGAAGACAAGACAAGCAAUACUCCACCACAGAUUGUGCCCAAGGACCCACUGAGCCUGUGCACAAGGCUGGAAGAAUGACCAAUAUUAAUCCCUGGCUUAUUAUAACACUAAAAAUCCCCACCCUGGGAGGAAUCUAUCUGCCAUUUUUUGAUCAUGAGAUGUCAUGGAACCCUGGAGGGCAGAUCUCAAUGGAGCAGACAGAGAGAUGGCCGAGUGCACCAGGGAGACCAGCAUGGCCCUGGACAGGACCGGGCAGGAUGAAAGAAGGGGAGGUAAUGGGAUUAAACAGGGUCUAAGCCAUGCAGUCAUAUGGAUCUUCUAGGACCCAGACUAAUUUUUUUAAAGUGAAGAUUGAGGUGGUUUUAGGAAUUUCAGCCAGAGCAGGAUUAAUUAAGGAGUGCAGAGUGGAAUGGGCUGCCUUGUGAGCCACUGUGUCAGCACUGCUCACCCUCCUUCCCUUGGAUCUACUUUGCAAAGGACUCUGCCCAAAGUCACCAGGGCUAGAGUCAUCCCCAUGUAGUCAUGGCCCCCAGGGUCCUGGAGCAGUGGGAGGAAGACAGGACAUUAAAAGUCCUGGCGCUUGGCAAGGUGGCAUUGUCCUUUCCCAAGUCUGAUCUGAGGAGUGAGCUCUCAGGGGGCUGCUGCCAAGAUCACAGAACCUUCUCCAGUCUCCUCAGCUGAGCUCUCCUGUAUUUGUUUUUUUCUGGGGCUUCCUUUCUUUCAGCAGCUGUGAGAUGCAUGAUGACCCACUGAGUUAUUCCAAUCCUGGAAGGUUCCAACAUUUCCUAACGACAAUGGGGACUAUGGUACGGGAGGGGAAACGAGGCCCUGGGGUUGGCAUGCUUAGGAAAUGUUUAAAGCUCUCCCAGUCUGGGGAAAUCUUGGGGAGAAAAUGGCAUUUUUGUCAUUCCAGAUUGAUGUAAAAGCAUGACAUGAGCAGUGAGUUGGGGUGACUCACACCGGGGCUGAGUUUCUGAUUCUGCCUGAUCCAGACAAGUCAGAAGCAGCAGUGGGCUGGCGGGCAGCCUCUGAUGCCUCCCUUAGGUGUGGUAAAACUGCUCCAGAUUGUUGGAUCAUGUUCUGAGGACCAGCUUGGGGACAACGGGGUAGCAAGAGUGAUGGGAGAUGCUGCAGCUCCCGCUCUGAUGCAUAUCCUGCCAUUCCCCCUGGGCAAUGACUCAGGGGUGUCUUGUCUUCCCUGCCCAGCCCUGUAGUUCAGCUGAGGCUGCAUGGAGGCCAAACGGCUUCUUUAGAGUUCUACUUUCUUCGAGUAGCUGUGCUUGAAGAACUUGAGGAGCUAGCUAGACCUGGUAACUGUUCAGCAGGUCAAAGGAUCUCCCAGGUGGAGGUAGGGUAGGAGCAGAAGGAUGGAGGAAGGGAGUAUAGGAAGUUUUCUUCUGAGACUUGCUAAAACUGUGUUUGCAGAGAAAAUAUCCCAAUUCUUGAGCUGUGAGCCCUCUAGGAAACCUUGGAAUAUUAGGAUAGUCAUACUCAAGGGAGUCUAAGAAUUCCUGUAUCACCCAUCUUCUUAAUUCCCACAACAAUCCUGCAUGAUACUGGGGAACACUGGCCAGUCACCCUCCCCGUGAUGGGCAGUGAUGGUGGUGCCAGUGUGUGGCCUCAUGUCGGUGUGGGGCAGUGAGGUAGAAAGGAGGUUAGUUCUAAACCUAAGACUUUAAUUUAUUGCUUCAUAGUGUUGUCCCCUCACAGUGUUAUUCAGGUAUAAUUGACAAAUAAAAACUGUAUAUGUCCUUAGGUGGAGCAGCUCAGGCUGAAGCACCAUGUGGAGGGGUGAGCUCAGGGUCACCGAGGGGCCACAGUUGGGGUCCCCGGUGCGCUUGGGCAAGGCCUCAGUGGAAGAGCCGCCUGAUGGCCGAGCGGCGGGGCAGAGCGUGGACUGCUGCAGCAUGGAGUCCACACCUUAGCUGUGCUGUUUGUCCUUACCUGUGCACUUCGCCAUGUGACUCUACUGGAAGAAACACCUCAAGACACAGCCUACAACACCAAGAGAUGCAUGCAGGGCCUUCCUGAAGGGGCUGAGGAGAAGGUCCUAGGUCACUUCGGAACGGAGUGGCAUCUGUGAGACUAAAGGUAGAAGGAGCUGCACACAACACUGUGCUCUAACUGAUAAAGUUGUGUCCCAGGUGGUACCGGGUGGCAAUUCUGUUACUGCUGUGUGUGUAAUUGUGUGGGGAUGGUGGCAGCCAGGUGUUCACUGUCAGAGUGGGAAUUUACAGGUAACCAAGGGAGGAGGUUAGAAGGAUUCAUGUGGUGAUAGAUCAUAGUUGGAGAUGUCAGUCAGAACUCAUGUUUAGCUUAGUAAAGAUACAAACAGUUAAAAAUAGAAAUAUUUAUGAGAUAUAUAUAUAUAUAUAUAUA